CUUUAACAAGGCCCGACAGGACCAGUAUUUAGAAUUGAUUAGGUUUUCUUAAACUAAUCAAAAUCAGAAGGUGGCCCUAGAAGUACAUCUACUGAGAAGAAAUGGGUUCAGUUAGUUUUCCACAACAGCAGAGCAACAUUUUUAAAAUGUACAUCAAGGUGCAGCUCAGUGGUAGAGUGCUUGCCUAGCAUGUGCAAGGCCCUGCGUUCUGUUCCAUCCCAGCACAGCAAAAACAAAACAACAUGAAAGUGCAAUCAUGCCACACUCUGCAGGGCCCUCCACAGUCUUGACCUCCUUCUCUGCCUGCUCCCUGCAGCUCCUCCACCCUGACCAACCUGCAGCUCUUCCUACACCUUCCUGCUCCUGCCUUAGGGCGUUUUUAAUAGCUUUUCCCAGUGACUUCUCAACCAUAGAUGUAGUCAGGCCUUCUAUUUCCCUGGGUUCCACAAGCAAAGAUUUGAUCACACAGAUCAAAAAUAUUAGAAAAACUAAAUUAAUUAAUUUUAAAAAGAAAGUAUUAGAUACCAGGUGCAGUGGCGCACACCUGUAAUCCCAGUGACACGGGAGGCUGAGGCAGGAGGAUCAGGAGUUCAAAGCUAGCCUCAGCAAUCAAUGGCCAGGCACUAAGCAACUCAGUGAGACCCUGUCUCUAUAUAAAAUACAAAAAAGGGCUGGGGAUGUGGCCCAGUGGUUGAGUGGCCCUGAGUUCAAUCACUAGUACCCACCCCCCCAAAAAAAAGAAGAAAAAAGAAAAUAUUAGAAAAAAAUUGCAUCUGACCAAACAUGUAUAAACUUUCUUGUCAUUAUCCCUAGACAGGACAAUAUCACAACUACUUGUGUGACAUUUUUACAUUGUAUGAGAUAUUAUACAUAAUUUGGACAGGAUUUAAAGCAUAAGAGAGGAUGUGCAUAGGUUUUAUGCAAAAACUAUGAGAUUUUAUGUGAGGGACUUGAGCAUCUCAGGUUUUGGUAUCUACAGUGGGUCCUGAAACCAAUCCCCACCCAUCUUGGAUACCAAGAGAUGAUUGUACCCAAGGGAGCCACCCUAGAAACACAGAUCAGAGCCACCCUG
rnacentral:lncRNA from 1 species